UCUCCCUACACUGGUUUACUUAUGUAUGAAUCUGGCUUCAAAUUCAGAGACCCUUCUCGAAAUCUUUGCAGUUUCUGUAGCUGUCUGUUGAGAAUGUGUAACCUGGACACCCAAGAGGAGCUCUACAUCUGAUAUAUGAAAUUCGAGCAGUCUUUAAUUAGAUUUUGGAAACUACAGAUUCUGGAAACUACAAGCUCAAUCUUCAGGUUAUUUGAUAAUGCGGCUGCUGGUAUUCACUCUAUGAAACCAAUUGUUUUAUGAAG